rnacentral:lncRNA from 1 species
AAGCAUGUCACUAUUCCAAGCCACAUCAAAUCACUCCUAAAAUCUGUAUUUUAAAAACUGGAAUGUGUAUAAUAUGAACGGCUUAAGGAAUAAAAUGCAAAAAGAUGUUGAUGAUGCUGGAUUACCAGCCAGCUGGAGAAUUAAAAGGGAGAGGGAGAGAGAGUGAUGAAGAGAAGAACAAAAAAAGCCUGUGUUUCACUGGCCAAGUCAACAACCGUGUUUUUUCAAUUGCCCCUCAUUAUGGAAAACUGUACUCAGGUUGUCCUGGAAUCUGAGUUCACUGUUUUUAAGGAGUCACAUCAGGAAAAAAAGCAUGAUGCAGUGCAGAGUGUAUGACGGGGAACAUCUGGACACCAAACUACUGGAGCUGCCAUGUUUUGCAGAGGGAUGACUCUCAGGAUGAAAUGGAAUGAAGUGUAACAAAUAUGGGAUUUUGCUGGCAGCUUUAAUUUAUUUAAAUGCAUCCCUGGCUUUUGAGCAAUUUCUUUGUUUUGGAUAAUAUUUAAACAUGUCAAAAAUCCUCUUUCCUUCCUGCCCUUCAUUACACAUGACAGGGAGUGGAUUGCUCUGGCCAUCUGUAGAGUAGGAAUGAAUAGAGCUACAUCUGGAUGGUCUGGAGAUCACAUGAACACUCACAGCAAGCUCUCAGCAGUUAGCUCAAAACCUGCCUUUCCCUGGAUGGGCUGAGACAGUAUCACAGUUUUUGCCAGGAUUGUGUGAAGUACUGCUGGAGCCUUGUAACUAAACAUGUCUAGAGCGUGUUUGGGGGCCCUCCCUAAAGUUAGGCACCUCUGCCAAUCCGGCAUAUGUCUAUGAGUUCUGUUUGAUAAUAACAUUUGGCAUUUAUUGUGUGACAUCUUGAGCUGAUGAAGCCAUGCCUGAGGCUUCGCUGUAGCCCUACUGCGAUUAUGAAAGCUUCAAGGGAGAAUACAAAAAUACAUGUGGCAGUGUUUAGAAGAGGGAAGAGUUAAUAAGGGGGAGGACUACCUGAAGGUCCUGAGACGCAAGUGGCUUGUGCCAAGUCUGCACCAUGCCUGCACAGGGCACUGGGGAAGCCCAAAACCUCACCUGGGAAGAAGCAAGGAAAGGGGUGGGCUGCUGAAGCUGCCACCACUGACCUCUCUAGCCCUGUCCCCAGGGGGCGGUGAGAUGAUGGCUGGGAAGCCACCACCAUCCCCUGCCUGUGAACUGUUGCCAGAGGUCUUUCCCCAUCGGCUCUCUGAUGUAUGGAGAUAUGUCUCAGGGAUGUUGGCCAUAUGUUGCUCACGGGGACCAGGAAAGAUGCUUUUCAGUCCUUCGGCUGUAGGAUUUUUGGCGUGUGACUGA